rnacentral:rRNA from 1 species
GAUGAACGCUGGCGGCGUGCCUAAUACAUGCAAGUCGAACGAAUCUCUUUUAGAGAUGAGUGGCGUACGGGUGAGUAAUACAUAGGUAACCUGCCCCUGUGCGGGGGAUAACAGGAGGAAACUCCUGCUAAUACCGCAUAGCCAUGAGCACCGCAUGGAGCUCAUGCCAAAUAUCCUUUCGGGGAUAGCGCAGGGAUGGACCUAUGGCGCAUUAGCUUGUUGGCGGGGCAACGGCCCACCAAGGCAACGAUGCGUAGCCGGCCUGAGAGGGCGGACGGCCACAUUGGGACUGAGACACGGCCCAGACUCCUACGGGAGGCAGCAGUAGGGAAUUUUCGGCAAUGGGGGAAACCCUGACCGAGCAACGCCGCGUGAGCGAAGAAGGCCUUCGGGUCGUAAAGC